rnacentral:tRNA from 1 species
CGACCCAUCGCCUGACUGAUAUUGUUAGGGUAGCGCCUGAAUCCGAAUCAGGAGGUUGGGAGUUCGAGUCUUCCCGGGCGGCCA